rnacentral:rRNA from 1 species
GACGAACGCUGGCGGCGCGCCUAACACAUGCAAGUCGAGCGAAUGAAGUUCCUUCGGGAACGGAUUUAGCGGCGGACGGGUGAGUAACACGUGGGCAACCUGCCUCAUAGAGGGGAAUAGCCUUCCGAAAGGGAGAUUAAUACCGCAUAAGAUUGUAGUACCGCAUGGUACAGCAAUUAAAGGAGUAAUCCGCUAUGAGAUGGGCCCGCGGCGCAUUAGCUAGUUGGUGAGGUAACGGCUCACCAAGGCGACGAUGCGUAGCCGACCUGAGGGGGUGAUAGGACACAUUGGGACGGGGACCCGGCCCAGACUCCUACGGGAGGCAGCAGUGGGGAAUAUUGCACAAUGGGGGAAACCCUGAUGCAGCAACGCCGCGUGAGUGAUGACGGCCUUCGGGUUGUAAAGCUCUGUCUUCAGGGACGAUAAUGACGGUACCUGAGGAGGAAGCCAUGGCUAACUACGUGCCAGCCGCCGCCGUAA